rnacentral:rRNA from 1 species
UACGGAGGGUGCGAGCGUUGUUCGGAAUCAUUGGGCGUAAAGCGCGUGUAGGCGGUCCGGUAAGUCCGCUGUGAAAGUCGGGGGCUUAACCCUCGGAUGCCGGUGGAUACUGUCGGGCUUGAGUACGGAAGAGGCGAGUGGAAUUCCUGGUGUAGCGGUGAAAUGCGCAGAUAUCAGGAGGAACACCAAUUGCGAAGGCAGCUCGCUGGGACGUUACUGACGCUGAGACGCGAAAGCGUGGGGAGCAAACAGG